rnacentral:rRNA from 1 species
GACGAACGCUGGCGGCGUGGAUUAGGCAUGCAAGUCGAACGGUAUCAUCCUUUCGGGGGUGAGAGAGUGGCGAACUGGUGAGUAACACGUAGGUUAUCUACCCUCAAGACGGGGACAACCCAGGGAAACCUGGGCUAAUACCGGAUGUGAGCAACUUUUAGUUGUUUGAAAGGUGGCGUAAGCUGUCGCUUGGGGAUGAGCCUGCGUCCUAUUAGUUAGUUGGUGAGGUAACGGCUCACCUAGGCAAUGAUAGGUAGGCGGCCUUAACGGGUGGUCGCCCACACUGGGAUUGAGAUACGGCCCAGACUCCUACGGGAGGCAGCAGUCGAGAAUAGUCUACAAUGGUCGGAAGACUGAUAGUGCGACGCCGCGUGAACGAUGAAUCCCUUCGGGGUGUAAAGUUCUUUUAUAUGUGAGCAGUGCUUCUUAUAUUAACAGUAUGGGGAGAGAGAUAUUAGCAUAUGAAUAAGCAACGGCUAACUCCGUGCCAGCAGCCGCGGUAAACUCGU